rnacentral:rRNA from 1 species
AGUGAACGCUGGCGGUAGGCCUAACACAUGCAAGUCGAACGGCAGCACAGUAAGAGCUUGCUCUUACGGGUGGCGAGUGGCGGACGGGUGAGGAAUGCAUCGGAAUCUACUUUUUCGUGGGGGAUAACGUAGGGAAACUUACGCUAAUACCGCAUACGACCUACGGGUGGAAGCAGGGGAUCUUCGGACCUUGCGCGAUUGAAUGAGCCGAUGUCGGAUUAGCUAGUUGGCGGGGUAAGGGCCCACCAAGGCGACGAUCCGUAGCUGGUCUGAGAGGAUGAUCAGCCACACUGGAACUGAGACACGGUCCAGACUCCUACGGGAGGCAGCAGUGGGGAAUAUUGGACAAUGGGCGCAAGCCUGAUCCAGCCAUACCGCGUGGGUGAAGAAGGCCUUCGGGUUGUAAAGCCCUUUUGUUGGGAAAGAAAAGCAGCAGGUGAAUACCCCGCUGUUCUGACGGUACCCAAAGAAUAAGCACCGGCUAACUUCGUG